AGAUAGGUUAGGGUUAAAUUACACUCCUCGAUUGUACAUAAUUACCCUAAAUUUGUUCCACUGUGAUCUUGUUUUUCAUCUUAUUGAUCAAUUUAUACAUAUUUAUUAACAACUUAAUUUUAUCCUAUAAUCAAAAUUAUAAAGCUAAUUAACGAAAGUUUAAUGUAUUAUGAACAAUAUUAUAUUAUGAAAAAUAAAUUAAUGAAUUAAGGUUGAGUGGCACGACGACGUUUAUAUAAGAGUGAAUACAAUCUGUUAUAUAUGAAGACAAUGUAGUGACGUGACGGGAUGAUUUUUAAGGGGAAUUAUUUACCAAGAUAAAAGUAGCAUACGAGUACGAAAUCAUAAUUAUACAGAAUUGAGCGAUGGUCCGCCUGCUGUUUUCUUGGAUCAUUACGUGGAUUCAGCGAUCAUGUAUUGGGUUGCAGGCCUUUGGGCUUGAUCAUCAUGGACGCCCGCUUCAGAGUGUAGUCCCAGCCUCGCCAGCGAAACCAUACGAUUCCUGUAGAGAGAAAUAAUGGCAAACGAAGAAAAACCGACUACAAUUAUAUUGACAAGU